UAGGGAAUCUUCCGCAAUGGACGCAAGUCUGACGGAGCAACGCCGCGUGAGUGAAGAAGGAUUUCGGUUCGUAAAACUCUGUUGUUAGAGAAGAACAGCGCAUAGAGUAACUGUUAUGCGUGUGACGGUAUCUAACCAAAAAGCCACGGCUAACUACGUGCCAGCAGCCGCGGUAAUACGUAGGUGGCAAGCGUUGUCCGGAUUUAUUGGGCGUAAAGCGAGCGCAGGCGGUCAAUUAAGUCUGAUGUGAAAGCCCCCGGCUCAACCGGGGAGGGUCAUUGGAAACUGGUUGACUUGAGUGCAGAAGAGGAGGGUGGAAUUCCAUGUGUAGCGGUGAAAUGCGUAGAUAUAUGGAGGAACACCAGUGGCGAAGGCGACUCUCUGGUAUGUAACUGACGCUGAGGCUCGAAAGCGUGGGGAGCGAACAGG
rnacentral:rRNA from 1 species